AUUGAACGCUGGCGGCAGGCCUAACACAUGCAAGUCGAACGAGUGGCGGACGGGUGAGUAAUGUCUGGGAACCUGCCUGAUGGAGGGGGAUAACUACUGGAAACGGUAGCUAAUACCGCAUACCAUCAGAUGUGCCCAGAUGGGAUGAGCGAGUUGGGGGGGUAACGGCUCACCAAGGCGACGAUCCCUAGCUGGUCUGAGAGGAUGACCAGCCACACUGGAACUGAGACACGGUCCAGACUCCUACGGUAGGCAGCAGUGGGGAAUAUUGCACAAUGGGCGAAAGUCUGAUGGAGCCAUGCCGCGUGUGUGAAGAAGGCCUUCGGGUUGUAAAGCACUGUCAGCGGGGAGGCGUUACCCGAAGAAGAAGCACCGGCUAACUCCGUGCCAGCCGCCGCGGUAAUUC
rnacentral:rRNA from 1 species